CUCCGUGUACUUUCAGGGCUUGUUGGCUACCGGCAGCCUCCCAUCACAAGCCACAGGACAGCAUAUUCUUAUUUAUUGGCAAAGCUGUCUCCAUUCACUUGCUGUCUGUUUCUCAUUUGCCCAAAUAACAUUC